rnacentral:ncRNA from 1 species
GCCGUAUAUUUGAUCGCUUCUAUGGGGCGUAGGCCUCCCAAAAGGUAAUGGAGGCAUGCAAAGGUUUCUUCGAGCCGGAUGGAGAUUGGCCCGCGAGUGCAAAGGCAGAAGGGAGUUUGACUGCAAUACCCACAUGUCGAGCAAGGACGAAAGUCGGCCUUAGUGUCAACCCACCCCCUCGUCGAA